GGUAGGACUAAAAGUCCAGAUCUGCAUUUGCCUUUCCAGAGAGGUCACCACACCCAUCCCAAAGUAUUCAACUCAUCGUGGGUCCAACAGAUCCAUAGCACUAUUCUGACGAUUCUGAGGAUUGGGGGAGUUGUAUGCUAGGAAAGAAAUAGGAGUAGAGAAUUUUGUCCCCUCCAGGAUUCUGAACAGGUCUCUGACUAGCCAGCACACCAUGAGGGAGAUUGUGGUAGAUGAAGCAUGCUCAACUUAGGGUCAG